UGCAGCCUACGGGAGGCAGCAGUAGGGAAUCUUCCACAAUGGGCGAAAGCCUGAUGGAGCAACGCCGCGUGGGUGAAGAAGGUCUUCGGAUCGUAAAACCCUGUUGUUAGAGAAGAAAGUGCGUGAGAGUAACUGUUCACGUUUCGACGGUAUCUAACCAGAAAGCCACGGCUAACUACGUGCCAGCAGCCUCGGUAAUACGUAGGUGGCAAGCGUUAUCCGGAUUUAUUGGGCGUAAAGGGAACGCAGGCGGUGUGUUAAGUCUGAUGUGAAAGCCUGCGGUUUAACCGGAGUAGUGCAUUGGA
rnacentral:rRNA from 1 species